GGGCAGGUAGCUCAGCGGCAGAGUGUUUGCUUUGCAUGCAGAAGAGUUCAGCUUCAAUCCUUGGCAUUUCCA